AUUGAACGCUGGCGGCAGGCCUAACACAUGCAAGUCGAGCGGAUGGAGGGAGCUUGCUCCUGGAUUCAGCGGCGGACGGGUGAGUAAUGCCUAGGAAUCUGCCUGGUAGUGGGGGAUAGCGUCCGGAAACGGGCGCUAAUACCGCAUACGUCCUGAGGGAGAAAGUGGGGGAUCUUCGGACCUCACGCUAUCAGAUGAGCCUAGGUCGGAUUAGCUAGUUGGUGGGGUAAAGGCCUACCAAGGCGACGAUCCGUAACUGGUCUGAGAGGAUGAUCAGUCACACUGGAACUGAGACACGGUCCAGACUCCUACGGGAGGCAGCAGUGGGGAAUAUUGGACAAUGGGCGAAAGCCUGAUCCAGCCAUGCCGCGUGUGUGAAGAAGGUCUUCGGAUUGUAAAGCACUUUAAGUUGGGAGGAAGGGCAGUAAGUUAAUACCUUGCUGUUUUGACGUUACCAACAGAAUAAGCACCGGCUAACUUCGUG
rnacentral:rRNA from 1 species